rnacentral:rRNA from 1 species
GAUGCAACGCGAAGAACCUUACCAAGGCUUGACAUACACCGGAAAAGUGCAGAGAUGUGCUCCCCGCAAGGUCGGUGUACAGGUGGUGCAUGGUUGUCGUCAGCUCGUGUCGUGAGAUGUUGGGUUAAGUCCCGCAACGAGCGCAACCCUCGUCCCAUGUUGCCAGCGGGUAGUGCCGGGGACUCAUGGGAGACUGCCGGGGUCAACUCGGAGGAAGGUGGGGAUGACGUCAAAUCAUCAUGCCCCUUAUGUCUUGGGCUUCACGCAUGCUACAAUGGCCGGUACAAAGGGCUGCGAUACCGCGAGGUGGAGCGAAUCCCAAAAAGCCGGUCUCAGUUCGGAUUGGGGUCUGCAACUCGACCCCAUGAAGUCGGAGUCGCUAGUAAUCGCAGAUCAGCAACGCUGCGGUGAAUACGUUCCCGGGCCUUGUACACACCGCCCGUCAAGUCACGAAAGUCGGUAACACCCGAAGCCGGUGGCCCAACCCCUUGUGGGAGGGAGCUGUCGAAGGUGGGACU